rnacentral:rRNA from 1 species
GUCUACGGCCACGCCACCAUGAACGUGCCCGAUCUCAUCCGAUCUCGGAAGCUAAGCAAGGUCAGACCUGGUUAGUACUCGGAUGGGAGACCACUCAGGAAUACCAGGUGCUGUAGGCA